UACGUAGGGGGCAAGCGUUGUCCGGAUUUAUUGGGCGUAAAGAGCGUGUAGGCGGUUUGGUAGGUCCGCUGUGAAAACUCGAGGCUCAACCUCGAGACGCCGGUGGAAACCAUCAGACUAGAGUCCGGAAGAGGAGAGUGGAAUUCCUGGUGUAGCGGUGAAAUGCGCAGAUAUCAGGAAGAACACCCGCGGCUAAGGCGGCUCUCUAGUACGGUACUGACGCUGAGACGCGAAAGCGUGGGGAGCGAACCGG
rnacentral:rRNA from 1 species